rnacentral:rRNA from 1 species
AGAGUUUGAUCCUGGCUCAGGACGAACGCUGGCGGCGUGCUUAACACAUGCAAGUCGAACGGAAAGGCCCUUCGGGGUACUCGAGUGGCGAACGGGUGAGUAACACGUGGGUGAUCUGCCCUGCACUUUGGGAUAAGCCUGGGAAACUGGGUCUAAUACCGAAUACACCCUUCUGGCUGCAUGGUCUGGUUGGGGAAAGCUUUUGCGGUGUGGGAUGGGCCCGCGGCCUAUCAGCUUGUUGGUGAGGUUACGGCUCACCAAGGCGACGACGGGUAGCCGGCCUGAGAGGGUGACCGGCCACACUGGGACUGAGAUACGGCCCAGACUCCUACGGGAGGCAGCAGUGGGGAAUAUUGCACAAUGGGCGCAAGCCUGAUGCAGCGACGCCGCGUGAGGGAUGACGGCCUUCGGGUUGUAAACCUCUUUCGCCAGGGACGAAGCGCAAGUGACGGUACCUG